GACUGCUGUAUUUUCAACAGUUAUGGCUAUGUCAUCUUUAGAUGAUGACAGUCUGGGUCUGAGCCUUGUCUUUGAUACAGGCGGCUUACUUGGAGUUAGCGGCGGAAAUUCCAACUCAAACAUGUCGGCUAGCUAGCAAGCUAGCGGCCACGAAUAUUUAAAGGAGUUAGCUAGCUAACUCCAACAACGUCGGAGUUUGCUGCUGACCAACAUUCUCGUUUUUUCCCACCAUGGCGAUCACAAAAGAUCAGAAAAAAAUAUUCAGAAAUAAACUUUACAAAGUAAGGUUGGUUUUCACAACUUUUUGAAUAAAAGUAGUUGCGCAGCAAGGCAAACCACCAGGUUGCAGUCAUGUCUCCCAGCAUGCACUGCGGCUCAAAAUGUAUUUUUUUUAAGAAAAAAAACCCUUUAAAGUCAUUUUUAUUUUUAAUUUACAAGUUACAAACAUAAAGUACGGAUUCCAAAUUUGUCUAAAACGCACUUUUAUCUAAAGCUUAAAACCAUUAGUUUACAUGCAUGUUCGUAUGGUGGGGUUUAUAUACCGCUCGCCAACAAAUGCACUAACAUAGAACUAGUGGUACUGGACUCCCGUGCUGGGGAGUACGGUAAUAAGGUGAAGGGCUGGCAAGGUCUGUGCUCCCCGGUAGGGCACAGACUGGUUGACAUGUUACCCAGACCGACUGUGCCCAUUCGAUGACGUGGUUCAAUCAGACGUCAUUGAAUGAGGUGGGCCAAUGGGUGUCAUCAGCACAAUGGCACCCAUUGGAGCCAGUCAGACGUGGGCGUCUCCAGCCAGUACCUUCAACACUAGUUACUUUUUCAUGAUAUUUUCAGUUGGGCUAUUGAAUAGCCUCCAUCUACGAUCUGAUUAUUAUUUUUUAAAUUAUUAUUUUUUAAAUUACACCCUCCAAACAGAAGGUUCCAAAGCCCACCAUUGGGAGAGUAAUCUGCGUCACGUGCUAUGAACCACUCAAGUUUACAUUUAAAUGUAAGAGCACAUUUUAAAAACUGGAACAACUAAUGACAAGGCCAGCUAAAUAUUUUAGAGGGGUCGCCAAAAUGGCAGAAUAAGCGGUUAAACAGUCCUGGAUCCGAUGCUUUACCUGGAAAAAAAACAACAGUGUAAAAAAAAAAUUGAAAGAAUUUCCACGCAAUUAAAUAGCGUUGAUGGAACAAAAAGUAGCUUUGUUUGUUCAACUUAAUACAUUAAUGUUUAGUGAAUGAAAUUUAAUUAAGCAAAGAUUUAGUUAUGUUAAUUGUAACAUUAUCUAAUUAGGACAACAUAAUUAUUUAAUGUUAAUGGAAUAGUUGUAAAUUUGAUUAGAUUUACACAAUCAAAAAAAUUCCAUCCAACAUAAUUGAUUAUUGUUCAGGCAACAGGUUUAAAUCAUGUGGAAAUUCUUUCAAUAUUAUAUUUAUGUUUAACCACAGAAUAAAUAUUAUGUAAAAGUUAGAUGUUAAAGACAAAUUAAAAUAAAGGAGAAAAGACAAUGAUGACAUGUUCAAAAAUUGUUUUUUUUUCUGGCAACAAUGGCAGACGUUGAUGCGGGACGCAGAGUCGGGGAAAAUUUCCCUUUUAAAUAGCCGGCGUCACCGACCCUGUUCUUCUUGAACUCCACUGCCCUGCUUCAGUAAUUCCUGAUUAGCUGGAUUGGAUGAGCUCCGUUUCUGAUUGACUGAACACACCUGAUCAGGACAAUCCUGGAGAAAAUGGAUCUGCUGGAGAAGUACAGCAGUGAGUGAAAGAGAGGAGAGUGAAGAAAGAGAAGGAAGGAGAAACAGUGAUGAGCUUCUAGACCUAAGCAGAGGACAUGAGGCAGAAGAGCAGAGCGCACGAGAGAGGAGGGUAACUUUUGACCAACUUUAGUCUGCUGGAAAGAAUUGCUGUUAAAAUCCUUAGAUGUCUGAUAAUAAAUAAAUGAAGUUUAUGUUUGAUAUAUUAAACAUGUUUGUUUUUGUUUUGUUAAUUUAAAUAAAGAUCUAAAUCAAACACAGUGAUUGUCAUGGAUUAAUUGUAACUUUUAUUUCCAACUAUUUACAAAGUAAGUAAGUAAGUAAAUCUUUAUUUAUAUAGCACUUUUCACAGAGGACCACUCACAAAGUGCUUCACAAAAGAUAAAAUACAUAAGAUAGUCGACAUGGAUGGGGGGGGGGCUUCGACUGAGACCCGGGCUGGAACUUUCUGGGUGGUGAUUGAACAUCUUGCAAGGUGGUCUGCAGAGAGUUUCAGGAUCAUCUUCACUGUAGACUGCAUCGUCCAUCUUCAGGGUUUGCAGGGCUGGCUGUCGAUGGAUGCUGCAUGACCAAAAAUGAUCCAUAAAUAUGAGAUAAUGAAUUUACAGGCUUUGGAAAAAAAAAUCUCUUGA